UUGUGAAAAGCACUAUACAAAUAAAAUUGAUUUGAAUAAAGUUAAUUUUUUUUAAUUGGCUGAGACCUGACCUUAAUUCUAUAGAAAUGCUGUCUAAGGACCUGAAGCAAGCAAAUCAUGCUGUUUUGUACAGAUGAAUGAAAUAAAAUCCACCAAGACGUUGUGCAGGUCUAAUCAACAGUUACUAGAAACAUUUAGUUGUAGUUACUGCAGCACAAGGGGGGUGGGCAUCAAACUACAUACUGAAAGUUCCAUCAACUUUCAAGACUGCAAGAGUACCUCCCAUCUUGAAGAAACCCAUGCUUGACAGCUCUGAUGUCAACAACUACAGACCGAACCAGCUCCAGGACCCCAACCAGUCUGGCUUCAAACCAGCACACCCAACAGGAACUGCCCUCAUAGCAGUGACCGAGAAGCUCUAAUCAGCAAUAUCAGCCAAACUGUCAUCUGUCCUGGUUCAUCUUGAUCUCUCAGCAGCUUUUGACACAGUCAACCAUACGAUCCUUCACUAGCUAUGUGUUGAAUGGUUGAAGUCCUAUCUGGAGGAUCACUCUUAUCAGGUUUCCAGUCAUAUCUUGGCAUGUCUGUCUGACAUCUC